GCUGAAGGUGAAGUAACAUACUGUGAUGUUAAAUACAGGAGAAGAACUUCAGUGCAGGCUGGAAGUGAUGUAAUAUACUGUAACACUGGUAACGUGAAAGUAACAUCAGAUCAGAUGCCAUGCUCAGAUGUGGAUGUGAUUUAUAGUUCUGUGGUUACUAAAAAGUAGCAGUCUCACACAGUCCAAAC